UGAGUAAACCAGAAACAAGUUUGGGCU
rnacentral:piRNA from 1 species